rnacentral:tRNA from 13 species
GAGGGUAUAGCUCAGUGGUAGAGCAUUCGACUGCAGGUCGAGAGGUCCCCGGUUCAAAUCCGGGUGCCCCCU